rnacentral:rRNA from 1 species
UACGGGGGGGGCAAGCGUUGUUCGGAAUUACUGGGCGUAAAGGGCGCGUAGGCGGCCUGCUAAGUCAGACGUGAAAUCCCCGGGCUCAACCCGGGAACUGCGUCUGAUACUGGUAGGCUUGAAUCCGGGAGAGGGAUGCGGAAUUCCAGGUGUAGCGGUGAAAUGCGUAGAUAUCUGGAGGAACACCGGUGGCGAAGGCGGCAUCCUGGACCGGCAUUGACGCUGAGGCGCGAAAGCCAGGGGAGCAAACGGG